UCUCCGUUGGUGAACCAGCGGAGGGAUCAUUAUCGAGUUUAUAACUCCCAAACCCUAUGUGAACUUACCACUUGUUGCUUCGGCGCGCGCUUCGGUGCCGCCGAGGACACUUAAACUCUUUGUUUUUAUAAGCAUUUCUGAGUGGCCGAAAGGCAAAAUACAAAUGAAUCAAAACUUUCAACAACGGAUCUCUUGGUCCUG
rnacentral:misc_RNA from 1 species